rnacentral:rRNA from 1 species
CGUGGACCCGUAAUCCGGGUUGCGGACAGUGUCUGGUGGGUAGUUUGACUGGGGCGGUCUCCUCCUAAAGAGUAACGGAGGAGCACGAAGGUUGGCUAAUCCUGGUCGGACAUCAGGAGGUUAGUGCAAUGGCAUAAGCCAGCUUGACUGCGAGCGUGACGGCGCGAGCAGGUGCGAAAGCAGGUCAUAGUGAUCCGGUGGUUCUGAAUGGAAGGGCCAUCGCUCAACGGAUAAAAGGUACUCCGGGGAUAACAGGCUGAUACCGCCCAAGAGUUCAUAUCGACGGCGGUGUUUGGCACCUCGAUGUCGGCUCAUCACAUCCUGGGGCUGAAGUAGGUCCCAAGGGUAUGGCUGUUCGCCAUUUAAAGUGGUACGCGAGCUGGGUUUAGAACGUCGUGAGACAGUUCGGUCCCUAUCUGCCGUGGGCGCUGGAGAACUGAGGGGGGCUGCUCCUAGUACGAGAGGACCGGAGUGGACGCAUCACUGGUGUUCGGGUUGUCAUGCCAAUGGCACUGCCCGGUAGCUAAAUGCGGAAGA